rfam:Rattus norvegicus chromosome 5, whole genome shotgun sequence.
GGGGAUUUAGCUCAGCGGUAGAGCGCUUGCCUAGCAAGCGCAAGGCCCUGGGUUCGAUCCCCAGCUCCA